GUUAUGUGAUGUCAUUCACAAUAUUUUUCAGCCAGAAAUAUUAUUUCCAUUUUCUUCUUUCUACGCAUCGUCACAUUCAUUAUCUCUAUUAUUCUCUCUCUCAUCCGGCUGAACCAUCGUUCCACCUCCAAUGGAGAAGAAAAAGAGUAAUUAGCAUCUUAAUCGGUUAGAUCCUUCAUCCUUGUUGUGGUAGCAUCGACAAACCUCGAAGAAACAUCAAUCUAUGAUGCUUAAUUCAUUCAAUCCGAGAAGGUGGCGGUGGCCGAGCCUUAUUCAUAAACAGCUCCAUGUUUGUAUACUGGUUUGUCCAUGGUGCGACUCGACCUGCUUCCUCUAGUUCCAAUUGGAGGACACUGGUGAUAACGAGAAGUGGAAGGAAUGUUUAUGUGGAUGACACCCUUGUUUUGUGAAGUCAUCUCUACCAAACACGUAAUAAAAGAGUGGAGGUUCCAAUUGAAGGUAUAUAAGCCAAUUUUGUGCUAUGAUCUGCUCUGACCUUGUAACUCUUCAUCUCAAGGUAAAGAAUGAUAUUUGGCAGUUUGUAUGUUACCACUGCGAGUUUAUUCAUAUGCCUUGUAUUUGGGAUAUAGCUUUGAUUACCACGGCAAAGUUAAGUUGGUUUCCCUUGGGUUUAGUGAUCUAUCUUGGCUUUAGGGUAUAGUUUUGAACACCACCACGUUGUGAAAUUUGUCUGCCUUGGGUUCAUUCAUCGAACUUGCCUUUAGGUUAUAGGUUUGAACUUUGAACACUACCCAUCUUUAUAUUAAUUUCCCUUGGGUUUAGUCUUCUAUUGUGGCUUUAGGGUAUAGUUUUUAACACCACCGCGUGGUGAAAUUGGUUUCCCAUAGGUUCAUUCAUCCCACUUGCCUUAUAAGUUAUAGCAAGAAUUAUAAUGAUGUUCUAGUUUCCGAUACUCUUACUAUAUUGCUAAUCUGAAUUUGUGUAGGUGAAACAAAUGUUGAGUUCGCUUCAGUCUUCAUCACAAUUUAAAGCUGAUUGUCAUGGGGAGAUAUAUAGAUGUGGACAAAUCAAGAAGAAUGGAAAGCUUCUCACUUUAUAUCUCAACGAAGCUUAUGGAUCUGGAUUCCAAUCCAAAAACUGAGUAGUUGUUCUGAUAAAAUCGAUGAUCUCACUUGUAAUUGAUUCAUAGUGGAUAAAAAAAAUUCAUGAUUAAAUUUUUAUAUACGAUAAGAAAAUAAAGCUAGUUUCGUAUA